rnacentral:rRNA from 1 species
CCUCUUUCUUCUUCCUUGCGGCCUCUUGGUCAAUGGACGAGAGUCUGAACCAGCCAAGUAGCGUGAAGGAUGACUGCCCUAUGGGUUGUAAACUUCUUUUAUAUGGGAAUAAAAUGUUCCACGUGUGGGAUUUUGUAUGUACCAUAUGAAUAAGGAUCGGCUAACUCCGUGCCAGCAGCCGCGGUAAUACGGAGGAUCCGAGCGUUAUCCGGAUUUAUUGGGUUUAAAGGGAGCGUAGGUGGAUUGUUAAGUCAGUUGUGAAAGUUUGCGGCUCAACCGUAAAAUUGCAGUUGAAACUGGCAGUCUUGAGUACAGUAGAGGUGGGCGGAAUUCGUGGUGUAGCGGUGAAAUGCUUAGAUAUCACGAAGAACUCCGAUUGCGAAGGCAGCUCACUGGACUGCAACUGACACUGAGGCUCGAAAGUGUGGGUAUCAAACAGGAUUAGAUACCCUUGUAGUC